rnacentral:rRNA from 1 species
GACGAACGCUGGCGGCGUGCCUAACACAUGCAAGUCGAGCGAAUGAAGUUCCUUCGGGAACGGAUUUAGCGGCGGACGGGUGAGUAACACGUGGGCAACCUGCCUCAUAGAGGGGAAUAGCCUUCCGAAGGGGAGAUUAAUACCGCAUAAGAUUGUAGUACCGCAUGGUACAGCAAUUAAAGGAGCAAUCCGCUAUGAGAUGGGCCCGCGGCGCAUUAGCUAGUUGGUGAGGUAACGGCUCACCAAGGCGACGAUGCGUAGCCGACCUGAGAGGGUGAUCGGCCACAUUGGGACUGAGACACGGCCCAGACUCCUACGGGAGGCAGCAGUGGGGAAUAUUGCACAAUGGGGGAAACCCCGAUGCAGCAACGCCGCGUGAGUGAUGACGGCCUUCGGGUUGUAAAGCUCUGUCUUCAGGGACGAUAAUGACGGUACCUGAGGAGGAAGCCACGGCUAACUACGUGCCAGCAGCCGCCGUAAGAC